GGGCGGUUUAACCAACCACCUGGGUGAUUCUGAUGGAAGUGAUUGGAGGACACCCGCUGGGAAUCACUAGGCACCGGUGUAAGGUACAAAAUUGUUGAUGGCUUCCAGAGACUGGCUUCCUGGCUAUCGGAAAGUGAAGAGUUCAGGAUGGGUUAGUUCUGAGUGAAUACCUACCAGCAGCAGGUGGUUAGGAAACAAGAUAGAGAAUAACUGAGAUCACUCCUGCAGGAAUGAGUAAAUUUAGAAUUUACAAUAUAAGGUUAGUUUGCCUUCAGUUGUAAUCCCCUGAAGGAAAGCAUUCUUCUAAAAACUAUUCUUCAAAUGGCUCAGCUCUGUAACAUGCAAGUGCCAAGUACAGUAAUGCCAGUAAUAUGUUAUUUUUUUACAUUGCUAAGAAGUAACGGAGAUUUUCUCAUUUGAAUCUUCCAGCAUCCUUUAAAGUGGACAGAAUAGGUAAUGUUACUUCUGCUUCACUGCUGAAUAAACAUGUCUAAGUUCAUCUAAGUCGCAGGGAGGAAACUGAUGCCUACAUUUGCUAAAUUCUGGUACUGUGGAAGCAGAAUGAUCUGCUUCUGAUUUAGACUGUGAGUUUCAGAGUCAGGCAGACCUGGAUAGACUUUUAGUUCCAAUAUGAGCAGUGUGGUGACCUUUAACAAUUUACUUGCCUUCUCUGGGUUUCAAUGUCCUCAUUUGUGAGACGGAGAUGAUAAUACCUUCCUUGUGGGGCUGUUGUGAAGAUUGAGUGAGAUAAUUUUUAAAUAUGUCUGGCACAUAGUUGCUGAGUAAGUAUACCUCCUGAAAGAUAAGUAGGGAAAACUAGCUUUAAGUUAAUGAUUAUUUCCCAUAUGGCACACAUACCAAAGUUGGGCUAUGAUUCCAAUUAAUGAGUAGAAUAUUGAUGGAAUUUUGAUCUUCUGGGUUGCUUAGCAACCAAAACUAACACAAUACCACAAGCUACUAAAGUUGUUUUAAUCAGAUCAGGAAUUCAGCUGCUCUUCACGAACUGAAUGUUUUAAGAAAAAGAUUCUCCUAUGAAUUUGGAGUUGUGCCAGACAUCUUUUAAAUAAGUGAUGUCCCAACCCUUUAGUGUCUUCGUUCUAAAUUCCCUUGAAUGUCAGGACCUCCCCCAUUUCUUUUCCCGAGGUGACAGAAGAUGUUAGAACAUCUGUUGAAUUGAAAUGAGAUGGAGAAGGCAGGGAGAGAGCUUGCACCUCUAUACCCGUGUGUUUAAUCCACAUUCAUUGUAUGUCAGGGGUCAGAAAUACAAAAAUAUUUUGUCUCAUCCCCUUAGAAUUUUGGAACCUAGAAAAGGGGAGUGAGUCAAUGUUGAACAGUAAUACAUCAGACUCUUUCAUGAGUCUCUGUCCCUGGCAGUAUUCUAAGCAUUAUGGAUUGAGCAGUACAAUCAGAUAGAGCACAUCUCAGAUAGCCACUGUUAGGAUGAUUAUUUUCCUGGCAGACCAUCCUGGCAGAAUAUCCCAGUGGUCUCGCAACAUAUUAAAUUGCAUUUGAAACCUUGAAAGGAGCAUUGCCUGUUGGGGAGGGCAGGAAGCUGAGCGGAGGUGGACUUGGACUUCCAUCCCCCUGCUGAGACUAACAGCCUCUUUUACCUGAAGCAAGUUAUAACCUUACCCUGUGCCCCGCCUUUCUCACCUGUAAGCUGAGCAUGAGGAUUCAGAAACUGCCUCCCUCCUGGCCCUGUGAUGCACGGAGAUAAGAAAUAUCCAAGUUCUGAACUGAUAAAUGCCGUUUCUGAACUAAUCAACCGUUUGCCACCAAGUUUAUAUUACGUUUCAUUGAACGCCCUUGUUCCUUGUAUCUCACGGUCUUACAAUUUAUUUAUUUAUUUAUUUUGUCUUUUUCUAGGGCCACACCCGUGGCAUAUGGAGGUUCCCAGGCUAGGGGUCUAAUCGGAGCUAUAGCCUCUGGCCUACACCACAGCCACAGCAACACUGGAUCCGAGCCGUGUCUGAGACCUACUCCACAGCUCACGGCAACCCCGGAUCCUCAACCCACUGAGCGCGGCCAGGGAUCGAACAUGCAACCUCAUGAUUCCUAGUCGGAUUCGUUAACCACUGAGCCACGAUGGGAACUAACUCCACGGUCUUACAAUUUAAAUAGAAAAAAUGGGGGGACUCAGAAAUAUUGUUUAUUUGUACUUAAUUUUGUUUCCAUCAUUUGUAUCUCCGUAUAUUAACUUCUUUCACAGGGAAGAUUGACUUUGUUACUGAAGAAAUCCAUUGUGCUACUUGGGCAUUUCGGCAUUUAUUUACCCCAAACAUGACUUUAGGCCUACAGGCCUUUAAAACAGGCAGCUGGUGGAUGAAUCAUGUUCAACAUUCCUAUAGUGCUGCUGGCACAUUUCAGAGGAACACUCAGGCUCAUCACCUGCCCCUGUCAGUUCUUCCUCUCCUAAUAAAGUACAUCUGUUUUGGUGACUGAAUAAAAACACACCACGUGGAGAAAGGCUGGGUGUGGAGUAAUUUAAUCAGGGCAAGUCAGCACUCCCUGUUGAGCGAUACAGUAUCAAGCAUAGGAAGAUGGUUUUGUAGCAGCUCAUUGAAACAGAAGUUGACUGGAAAGGGCCGGAAGUACUGUUCCUCUUAUAAUGGGUCAUACUCCAGGAAUGGAGGUGGCCCAGCACAUCCCCCACGUCAAGAGUUUAAGGGGAUGGAAUUGCCAUAAGAGCCCUUCUGAACAACCACAAACGUUUUACAUGGUCUUUUUCAAUUAGCAUCAUUUUAACAAUUUGUGGAGGAUUAUAAAUUUUUCAGGCAGUUCAAACCCAAGUUCAGGGCUCUAACGGCAGUGCUUUUUUAUAUUGACUUUUCGUGGCAAUGCUUGGCAUCCUGAGGAAGUGAUUAAUUUAAAAAUACCUGAGUUUUAAAAGUAAAGCGGCAGGGAGACUGACAUUUGCAGUCUGCAUUUCACGCUACUCGUAUUUUUUUUCAAAAAAAUGUUUCUUUGUUGUGAAAAUCCAGUAAUACAUAGUCUUGCGUUUUUUGCGGGGUUUUUUUUUGUUUGUUUUGUUUUGUAUUUUUGUCUUUUUGCAUUUUUGUUUAAAGGGGAGAAACGAAACAUGUUCAGGGUGCCAGUCUGCCUUGAAUCUCAUCUCUCGCAGAGGGAUCGGUGGAGUGAUAGAAGGAUGCAGAAUGUUUAAAAUGUAUUUGAGAGCAGCAUAAGUAGAAAUAACCAUAGGACUGUAAGUUGUAGAUCCGUGUUGUUUAUUUUUUUCUUUUAAUGAUUCACUUAGUGAUGUUCUUAAAGUCAUUACUUGCUGAGAAAAGAAUCAUUAACCAGGAUGAAAAACUAGGAACUUCGGCAGCAGUAGCUUCUUUAUUUUCAUUUCUUUCAUUGUCAUUUUCACCUCUGUAUGUAUGUAUUUUUUUUUUUUUUUUUCCUGAGACAAGAUCUGGGGUAUCUGAUCUUUUAUUCAGGUGUUCCAGGAAAAAAAAAAAAUCCGUCUCAAAAAUCAAAACACUAAAUAUGGCCGACAAGUUUAAGGUUCUUGAAUAUUAUUUUUGUUUCAAAAAAAUCAGUUUAAUGAAUACUUCACAUUGAAACCACUUAUCGGAGUUCCCAUUGUGGCUUAGAAGGUUGAGAACCCAUCUAAUAUCCAUGAAGAUGCAGGUUUGAUUCCUGGAGUCACUCAAUGGACUAAGGAUCCGGCAGUGCCAUAAGCUGUGGCAUAGGUCGCAGACACAGCUCGAAUCUGGCAUGGCUGUGGCAUAGGCAGG
ensembl:lncRNA